rnacentral:lncRNA from 1 species
UUUUAAAGGGGGGAAGAGCCAGAUGUUGUGGCGCAUGCCUGUAAUCCCAGCACUUGGGAGGCUGAGGCAAGAGGAUCGUUGCAAGUUCAAGGCCAGCCUGGGCUACAAAGUGAGUUCAAGACCAGCCUGAACUGCAUAGUGAGACCUUGUCUCAAAAAGGCAAAAAAAAAAAAAAAAAAAAAAAGAGGAAAGGAUAUUUAGCUCACAGUUUGUGGAGGUUUCCAUCCAUAAUGAGCUGGCUCCAAGGCAGGGCAGUGGAAGACAGCAAAAGCAACAAAGUGGUGGGAGCGGAGGGGCGUGGGAGGUCCUGUCAUUCUUAACAUAUUCAAGCUUUCUUCUAAAGCUAAUAAUAUAAGAUUCUUCCAAACUCUCUACCCUCAGGAUUCUGCCAAUCCCAUGCUUUAGAUCCCCAGCUCUCCCAGUAACCUGAGAGAUCCCUGAGGAAAAACCACAAAUUGCAUCCUCAGAAUCUUCAGGGUCAGAGGUUUGGGUCCUCUUCCAAAAGAGCAGUAGCUCUGAAAGCUACUGAGGCAGGAACUAGUCCAGAGAUUCAUGCUGUGGCCCAGCCUAGUCUGAAGUCCCUAAAGGAAGACUCAACCCUAGCAACAAGCAGAAGGAGACAAGAAAUAACAAACAGAGGCUAAACCAAAUAAUAAUACCCAGAGGGUUUUGGAGGAUGAGGGAAGUGGCAUUUGUGUUUCCCCAAACUCCCUUUGUCACAGAGCUACUUCCUGCUAACCUCAUACCAUCUCUUGACCUUCCUGACAAACUAAUCCCCAGUACACUACUUGUUCGCUCUAAAACCUUAGGUGGCUUUGCCAAGCCCCCCACCACAACAGCAUCCAUGGCCUCCCAUGAUCCAGACGAUUGUCUCCAACUUCAUCUCCCACUCACCUGUGCUAAGGUAGCCUUCCUUGUUCCUACCCAUGCUUCAGUGACAACUUUGAUGGGCAGUAUCUUUUCAACAAGAAGUAGCUGGGUUGGUAUCAUGAACCUGUACAGUCGGCUCCUCAUAAGGCAAAGGCAGGAGGAUCACUUGAGCCCAGGAGUUCAGCCUGGGCAGUAUAGCAAGAUUCCACUUCUUAAUAAAAUAAACAAGUGAUGAUGAUUGUGUAUGUGCUUUUCUGAGUAGAAAGCUGGCAUUCCCAGGGAAGGGUCUUUGUACUUAUACAGUAUGCCCUCACUCAGCCUGUGGUGGUUCUAGCACAGAGAAGAUUCUGCUCAAAGGCU